rnacentral:rRNA from 1 species
CAGUCGCCACGGUAAUACGUAGGGUCCGAGCGUUGUCCGGAAUUACUGGGCGUAAAGAGCUCGUAGGUGGUUUGUCGCGUUGUUCGUGAAAACUCACAGCUCAACUGUGGGCGUGCGGGCGACACGGGCAGACUAGAGUACUGCAGGGGAGACUGGAAUUCCUGGUGUAGCGGUGGAAUGCGCAGAUAUCAGGAGGAACACCGGUGGCGAAGGCGGGUCUCUGGGCAGUAACUGACGCUGAGGAGCGAAAGCGUGGGGAGCGAACAGGAUUAGAGACCCCGGUAGUCCCUGUCUCUUAUAC